rnacentral:rRNA from 1 species
UACGUAGGGUGCGAGCGUUGUCCGGAAUUAUUGGGCGUAAAGAGCUCGUAGGCGGUCUGUCGCGUCGGCUGUGAAAACCUGGGGCUCAACUCCGGGCCUGCAGCCGAUACGGGCAGACUGGAAUUCGGUAGGGGAGACUGGAAUUCCUGGUGUAGCGGUGAAAUGCGCAGAUAUCAGGAAGAACACCCGUGGCGAAGGCGGCUCUCUGGGACGGUACUGACGCUGAGACGCGAAAGCGUGGGGAGCGAACAGG